rnacentral:tRNA from 2 species
GCGGGAUUAGCUCAGUUGGUAGAGCGCGACCUUGCCAAGGUCGAGGUCGAGAGUUCGAGUCUCUUAUCCCGCUCCA